rnacentral:lncRNA from 1 species
CUCAAGAAUACGCUUCAAAUUCUAGCAACUAUAAUUUAUGUAUUGAUUUCUGUUAGAUGAUUUAUUUCAUUUUACUAUUCGCGCCUUCCUUCGUAUUUUAUUUUAAAAUAAAAAAUAAAUUAUUUUCACCUCAAUUAUGAUUUCCAACCGUAAUGAAAUGGUUUACUUAUAUCUAUAUCUAUAUAAUUCCCACAUUCCCACUUCAAAUAUGACAUUCCCACUUCAAAUAUGGCAUUC